UUUUUUUUUUUUUAAGAUUUUAUUUAUUUAUUCAUGAGAGACACAGAGAGAGGUAGAGACAUAGGCAGAGGGAGGAGCAGGCUCCCUGUGGAGAGCCCGAUGGGGUCCUCAAUCCCAGGACCCUGGGAUCAAGUCCUGAGCCGAAGGCAGAUGCUCAACCACUGAGCCACCCAGGCAUCCCCAAUAAUGAUCAUGUGUACUUAUAUUACGGUUAGGACUCUAAUCCUCAUGACUACUAUUGCUUUUUAUAUUUUGACUAUUGUAAGGUGAUGAUAUGCUUGCCUUUGAAUAGAUUGUAGUAUUUAAAAUACAUUUAUUUUCUGUACAAUCUUACAUCUCAUACACUUGAAAAUUAUUUGAAAAGAUUGACUUUUUCUGAUUUACCCUGAAAUAAUCAAUUAAUGAGAGGGAAAAGUAGACCUUGGUAGUUAGCAAGACCCAGUUUUGUUGUUGUUAUUGUUGUUUUGUUUUUGUUUUAUUUUAUGUAUGUGGCUGAACUAAAACAUGGCAUUUUCCCCCUAAUCUUAAGAUUGAUCUUUACACAGUGAAGAGCACUAAAAAUCAAAAUCAAGUCAAAUGCUUAGGAAGUAUUAUCUGAAAUUCCUUGAAUAGGAGGCAAAGGAAUGAGUUAUUUAUAUAAUAUCUUGCUAUUCAUAGUGUGACCCUUGAACUUGCAGCUUUGACAUCACUUGGGAGCUGACAGAAAUGCAGACUCUUGACCUACUAAAUGAGAAUCUGCAUUUUAACAAGAUAGCUUCCUGAGCAUAUUAAACUUUGAGAGCACUAAUAUAAUAUCCAAUAAGACACAAUUUUUUUCUCCAACAUUUGUCCUUUCCAAAACCACAUCCCAUGUAAGUUGUCCAUUGCUCUUCCUAACCCAAACUCUUGAUAAACUUUUCACACACUCCAAACUUUAUGCUAUUCUCUUUCCACCUCCAUCUCUGGCCAUCUCUUAUUUUGCUAAGCAGUCUAGCAUGCAUAGAAGCAGGAUGCUUAACAAAUGCACUUUUUCAGAUGCCUUAUUGCAGUUGAAUAAGAGAGAAAAUUAAUGACACUUUAUCUACUCUAAACCGUUCAACUCUCAAGGAAUAAAAUGGAUAAUAAUGCAAUGUCUUCUCUUCAUAAAUCUGGCAAUGAGAACAUAGUCCAUGAAAAUAUCAGUUCUCCAGUAUAGUAAAAGCACAGAAAUAUGUUGUUUGCUUUCCCAAGAUAGAUGUAAAAGGGUACCAACUUUUCCAGAGAUGAAUAAGAUUGAUACAAACUACUUCCACUAAUCAUAGAUUUCAAUGAAUAAUCAAUCAUAAUAAUCCAAGAUAAUUAUGUCAGUUAAGACAUAUAAAUCAUUUUUCUGAUUUCACUUCUCAUAAAAAUAAUAGAGAAAAAUUAUUUAUGGAAAUAAUGUUGGGUAUUUCAUUAUAAAUAGAACCCAUAUACAAUAUUCUUCAUAACUACUUACACAGUGACUCACAGUAAGAUGCUAGUUUUUUAAAUGAUUGAGAGUUUGAAUAUGUGAGGCAUCUGUGAAAGAAAAAUCUCCAUUGGCAUAGUCAGGUUGAAAACUAAAUUCUUACUUUUAAUUGAAAAAGAAGAAACAAAACAUCCUAAAAUGCCUAAUGAGUUGCCGAGAAAAUCUCUUUCAAUUUUUUUUUCCUUCCUUCCCUUUGAGGGAAAACUAUUGUAGCAUAUAUGUCAUUAUCAUUAUUAUUAUUUUCCAAAACACUUAAUACCAUUUUUCAUUCCCCCAUAUACAAUAUUGCCCAAUAUAAGUCCACAAAAGCAGCCACAAGCACAUUUAUAACAGACAUAAAAAAUUGUCAUUCAAUUUCUACUGUCCAGCAUGAUGAUUCAACUAAAGUAAAAUCAGAUUUAAUCAGCUAUGAAACUGGAAACAUGAAAGUCAGCCUGUGUGUCUAUCAUGACCAUGAUCAUUAAUACCUUUAUGAAAUAUGAGGAGAAAAGAAAGAAACAUCUGCUUCUUCUUACCAAAUUUCGAUAUAACUUUAGAUUACUUUUUUAAAAUUAUUUCUUUAAAAGACAUUCUGCUGCCUUUGGUGGUGUGAACAUUUGAGUGCUUUCUGAGUCAUUCCUGGGCAAAUAGAUGGUGCACAUUUAAUGGAAAAUAUUUGAAUAAAAGUGCCCCUCCUCCACUCUGGGUAUGCAAGUACAGGACACUUCUGAUUUCCAGUCUUGGCUCAUUUCAUAAGAAAAAAGGGAAGGGUUAUAUCCCUGGAAAAAAAUAUAGCCUACUUCAGGGCAUGCUUGACUUUCAUUUCAUUUAAGUGUUCAUGUUUUUACAAGCUUCAUACACAACAUAAAUCCUUUUGAAUAUCAGAAAGUAAAACACUACGCAGAAUUGAGAAGAGAAAAACCAACUUACCACAGUUGUUCAGUUAAUUGACAGGCACCAUCAUCUGAAACAGCAAAAAUAUAUUUUAAUAUUGCAAUCAUAAAAACUACCAAAGACUUACAAAUUGUCUUCACACACAUAUUGUGAAUUUAUCUACAGAAGUAAAAUUAAAUAAGCAAUAAAGAUACAUAAUUUGAUCUCAAUCAUUUAGAUAUUUCAUAUGAAAGUGUUUCAUUCUACCAUCCUAGAUCCAAAUUAAAUAGCCGGUUGUUUUUGAAAAACUUUUGUAUACUGCAAACAUAUAUAUUGUAACCAUAUUUUAUUUUGAUGUCCAAGUUUCAAAAUACAGAAAAUCCUGUAUAACAUGGUCUUUGUCCAGGGAUGGACAUGAUCAUGACAUCUUAUCCUAAUACAUAGCCCUGAUGAUUACACAUAAAUCACCAUGCUGAUACAAAAAAAAAAAAAAA
rnacentral:lncRNA from 1 species